ensembl:lncRNA
CAUUUUACUGAACUUUAUUUGAUAUAGAACAAAUAGGAAAGUUAACAUUUCACUGACCUUUAAUUGAUAUAGAACAAAUCGGAAAGCUAACACUUUACUGAACUUUAAUUGAUAUAGAACAAACAGGAAAGUUAACAUUUUACUGAACUUUAAUUGAUAUAGAACAAAUAGGCAACAACGGCUCAAGUAUUCAUUAACAAAACACCCCAAGAUAUUUCACAUACAGAAUCUUAAUACAGUUUAUAAGGAAACAAUUGGAAAAGUUGUAAAAUACUCUCAAAGUCAGAAAGGGGGACUCACAGCCUUGUUUUAAGCCUUCAUGUUCCCAGGUGUUGUUCUCCCUUGACCAAUUUCAUAUCCCUUCUCAAAAGAAGGUUAUGGAAUUGCUGGCCACAUCCAUCCCCCAUCAGGUACAGAAACAAACGACAGUAAACUUACAAAGAGAACUAUACUUUAAAGUAGCCAUACAUCUUUGCAUGAAUCAACAGUUACUAUCUAGAACAACUGAUGUAACAUUACUAUUUUUAAAAACAUAAUAAACAAGCAAAGUUACAAUAUCAACACACUAACCCGAUUUCUGUUUAAAACCUAUUGAAGUAAGCUGCCUCCACCACUUGCCUAUAUGUUUUACACUUCCAAAUUGGCUGAAUAUCACCUUUUUUUUGUCUGAUAAAUAGCAAGGCAGAGUGUAGACUUAAAAGCAGUGAAGUGAGCUGUUCCAAGUGACAGCACGGAGCAUAUCUAAAAUUUAAAAGAAAAAUUCCUUUUGGUGCAGUUCUUCUCCCUCAAAUCCCAGCAAGACUGGAAACCAACCCUCCUAAGCUGUGUUUUUUCAGCCAAAAGGAAAGGGCUAUUGCCUCCCUUCCAACCAUCAUUUUUUAUAUAAAAUGUAGUGAAAUUCACUGUUUUCACACAGGAGAUGUGGACAGUUGACUCUCCUCUACAUCAAUCAUUUGCUUCGGGUUCGUAGUAGUGUUACCCCAGCUAAGAUGCCACCACAGGCAAUGUUGUUUCUCUGAGUAAGCAGGCCAGUUUUGCAGGAAAGGCAGUUGUACAGUCAGAGGCCCUGCUUCUGUAGGGUCCCAGCAUUCACUGAACUCAAUGAUACACAGAUUUACAGCACUGUUUUGCAAUACACAUGCUGCGGGGUGUAGUUGCAAUGUUUCAGAAAUGCCCAGUGCAAAUGAGCAAAACCUUCAAUUAAGACCUUUACAGUAGCUUGCAGGUCUGGUGAUGAUAUGCAGUGCCAGACCUCUGAAGCAGCACUAACCUCCAGCUGUAACACAUACGCAGCCUAUAAACCACAAGAUGCAUGUGAAUGCUGGUCCAUGGCAAAUGGUAUGGGGGAAAUACAAUCAAUUAACUGCACUGGGUCUCAGUUAUAGAGUGACAGUAGUAGCAGUGAUCACAACACAUCGAAACAACUGUAGCAGUAUUGUCGUGUCCUGUAACAGCCGAUAAUAUCAGAUCCAGGCACACAGUUUAGAUAAAGAGUACAAAACUGCAAAAAUGUGUCCCAGUAUCAGGAACUGCGCGUCAUUUUAGUCUGAACAGCCACUUCAUUUCUUGGUUGAAAUGAAGGUGGUUUCUAGGUGGUUUACAACCACCCAGUGAAGCUGCAGCAGAACUGCCAUGAAUUUAACAGC